rnacentral:rRNA from 1 species
AUUGAACGCUGGCGGCAGGCCUAACACAUGCAAGUCGAACGAGUGGCGGACGGGUGAGUAAUGUCUGGGAAACUGCCUGAUGGAGGGGGAUAAAUACUGGAAAAGGGAGUUAAUACCGCAUACCAUCCGAUGGCCACAGAUGGGAUUAGCUUGGUGGGGGGGUAACGGCUCACCAAGGCCACGAUCCCUAGCUGGUCGGAGAGGAUGACCAGCCACACUGGAACUGAGACACGGCCCAGACUCCUACGGGAGGCAGCAGUGGGGAAUAUUGCACAAUGGGCGCAAGCCUGAUGCAGCCAUGCCGCGUGUAUGAAGAAGGCCUUCGGGUUGUAAAGUACUUUCAGCGGGGAGGCGUUACCCGCAGAAGAAGCACCGGCUAACUCCGUGCCAGCAGCCGCGGUAAUUC